CUGUACAAUGGAGAUGCCCAGGGCUGUCGCUGACCCUUUGUGGGUCGUGCACGCCUGAAGUGCUCUCUCUCACAUCCAUCUCACCUCUUUGUGCAUCACCGCGUGGGCCCCCCUAUUGGGAUCGGUUCACGUUUUUACACAGACACCUUUCUUUUAAUGCAUGUGUAGAAUGUCUUGCUCUUUUGUGAUUACACACAAUCAAUA
rnacentral:misc_RNA from 1 species